rnacentral:rRNA from 1 species
UCGUGUCGUGAGAUGUUGGUUAAGGUACCGCAACGAGCGCAACCCUCGCCCUUAGUUACCAGCACGUUAUGGUGGGCACUCUAAGGAGACUGCCGGUGACAAACCGGAGGAAGGUGGGGAUGACGUCAAGUCAUCAUGGCCCUUACGGCCUGGGCUACACACGUGCUACAAUGGUCGGUACAAAGGGUUGCCAAGCCGCGAGGUGGAGCUAAUCCCAUAAAACCGAUCGUAGUCCGGAUCGCAGUCUGCAACUCGACUGCGUGAAGUCGGAAUCGCUAGUAAUCGUGAAUCAGAAUGUCACGGUGAAUACGUUCCCGGGCCUU